AGGGCACCACCAGGAGUGGAGCCUGCGGCUUAAUUUGACUCAACACGGGAAAACUCACCCGGCCCGGACACUGGAAGGAUUGACAGAUUGAGAGCUCUUUCUUGAUUCGGUGGGUGGUGGUGCAUGGCCGUUCUUAGUUGGUGGAGCGAUUUGUCUGGUUAAUUCCGAUAACGAACGAGACUCUGGCCUACUAACUAGACGUUGGAUCCCUUUGUGGGUCCAUCACUUCUUCAGGGACAGGCGGCGGUCAUCCGCACCAAACAAAGCAAUAACAGGUCUGUGAUGCCCUUAUAUGACCGGGGGCGCCCCCGCGCUACAAUGAAGUGAUGAUCGUGCAUUCUCCUCCUACUCUGCCGACAAGGGGAAACCACCUGAACCACCUUCUUCAUGGGGAGAAGAGAUUAUUAUUAUUCUCCUCGUAGAAGGAAUUCCUCCCAAGCAGCAGUAGUCAUCUCCUCUUGAUGACUUCCUUGCCGCCUUUACACACACGCCGGUCGCUACUACUAAUUAUUGAUUUUA
rnacentral:rRNA from 1 species